GACGAACGCUGGCGGCGUGCUUAACACAUGCAAGUCGAACGGAAAGGCCCUGCUGUUGUGCGGUGCUCGAGUGGCGAACGGGUGAGUCACCCGUGAGUAACCUGCCGUUGAGUUUGGGAUAACUUCAGGUUACUGGGGAUAAUAUCGGAUCGGAGCUCGUGCUGCAUGGUGGGGGUUGGAAAGCUUCGGCGGAUGGGGAUGGGCUCGCGGCUUAUCAGCUUGUUGGUGGGGUUGUGGCUUACCACGGCUUUGACGGGUAGCCGGCCUGUGAGGGUGAGCGGCCGCAUUGGGACUGAGGUACGGCCCAGGCGCCUACGUUGGGCAACAGUGGGGAAUAUGACACAAUGGGCGGAAGCCUGAGGCGGCAACGCCGCGGUCGUGAUGACGGCCUGCGGGGUAUAAACCGCUUUCGCCUAUGACGGGGCGUGAGUGACGGUAAUGGAUAAAGAAGCACCGGCUAACUACGUG
rnacentral:rRNA from 1 species